rnacentral:rRNA from 1 species
CCUACGGGGGGCUGCAGUGAGGAAUAUUGGUCAAUGGACGAGAGUCUGAACCAGCCAAGUAGCGUGAAGGAUGACGGCCCUAUGGGUUGUAAACUUCUUUUAUAGGGGAAUAAAAUGUGCCACGUGUGGGAUUUUGUAUGUACCAUAUGAAUAAGGAUCGGCUAACUCCGUGCCAGCAGCCGCGGUAAUACGGAGGAUCCGAGCGUUAUCCGGCUUUAUUGGGUUGAAAGGGAGCGUAGGUGGAUUGUUAAGUCAGUUGUGAAAGUUUGCGGCUCAACCGUAAAAUUGCAGUUGAAACUGGCAGUCUUGCGUACAGUAGAGGUGGGCGGCCUUCUUGGUGUCGCGGU